ACUUAACAACUGAGCCACCCAGGCACCCCGUGCACGUGAUUCCUUUGAGCAUCUCAGCUUUACAUUGAGCGUGGGGUCGAGCUCUCCCAGCAGGAAUGCUGCAGGAGGAAGGGGUUCUCCUGUGUGUCGGGCUGGGCUGGGUUGGUCAGUGGUGUCAUGCCCACGACACACUGUCCCUCGGCCAUCUCGAAGCCUUGACCUGGCCACAGUAAUCUUCCUGCAGUGCUCUCAACAGGGAAACCAGCACCCCGCCCCCCUCUGCAGUGUGCCUCGGGCCCAUGCAGCCUGGAAGGUUCCCAUUACCUUGCAUGCCCAGCACCCCCACCCAUACCCUCACGUACUCUGCCUCAUCAUGUGGAUCUUGGGCUAAGCUGAAUGUGUUCCUAGGCUGCCUACUUCGAGCCAUGGUGGGGAUCAGCCCGAGACCCACAGGGAGGUCCCAAAGAAGCUGAGUCUAGAUGAGAGACAUGCUCUUCCUGAUCCAAAGAGGAAGCAACUGGUACAAAGGGGCCCCAGAGCCCUGACGUGGUCCCUUGAGACAGUGUGGCAGGUGUCCAGAACAGUCCAUUUCUGAUUUGCAGUUUGUAGCAGGUAAGUGUGAGGAAAGCAGAAACCACCACUGGCUCACCAAGCUGGACAGAACGUGCAAAGGUCAGAGGGCAAAAUCUCUCUUGGGGUGCAACAUACUCUCCAAGGAUUUGGUCAACAGUGACUCUGAGCAUUACAACACUUAACGGGCUGGGAGAACACUAAAAACUACCAGGCGCUUUUAGUUGGCCCCGUGGUGUCCUGACUGCCCAGCAAGAGCACGGAAACAGAAAUGAAGCUCGUCUGUGGACAAGACUACGCCAGUCCUUCGCUUCAACAGAAACCGGCAAAGCUGCUCAAACACAGCAACGGUAACAGCUCGACUUCUGUAUAAAGACAGCCUAGGAAGAUGGAGCAUUUCUUACUUGACUUUCCCAUCACUCAGGCCUCAUACUAUGUGAUGAGGUGAUUAAAAUAUGUUAAUAAAUCAUUUACUUCUCUGUA